GCGCCCGUAGCUCAAUUGGAUAGAGCGCCAGACUACGGAUCUGGAGGUUAGGGGUUCAAAUCCUCUCGGGCGCGCCA
rnacentral:tRNA from 1 species